GCUGAUGUGAGCUCCUGAUAUGAUUGCAGGAAACCAUACUUUGGAAGGACAUCGAGUGCUCUUAACUACAUCCCUCCAGCUCCAGUGUUGAGCAUUUUAGUGGGCUUAUUAAGCUAUUAAUAUUCCUCAGCUUAGACAAUGGACUGAGGCACCAAUUACUUCAACUCACUGAUUCUCAGGAUAAAAGCAGGGAGCAUGAAGUUGACAGUAAGAUUGAACUGUGAGGAGAGAAAGAAAAGCAAUGAACACAAGGGUUCACAAAAUCUACGGUUUCCAAAAACUGAAGAGUCAACCUCUUGACAGAUACAACAGGA